rnacentral:rRNA from 1 species
GAUGAACGCUGGCGGCGUGCCUAAUACAUGCAAGUCGAGCGAACAGACGAGGAGCUUGCUCCUCUGACGUUAGCGGCGGACGGGUGAGUAACACGUGGAUAACCUACCUAUAAGACUGGGAUAACUUCGGGAAACCGGAGCUAAUACCGGAUAAUAUAUUGAACCGCAUGGUUCAAUAGUGAAAGACGGUUUUGCUGUCACUUAUAGAUGGAUCCGCGCCGCAUUAGCUAGUUGGUAAGGUAACGGCUUACCAAGGCAACGAUGCGUAGCCGACCUGAGAGGGUGAUCGGCCACACUGGAACUGAGACACGGUCCAGACUCCUACGGGAGGCAGCAGUAGGGAAUCGUCCGCAAUGGGCGAAAGCCUGACGGAGCAACGCAGCGUGAGUGAUGAAGGUCUUCGGAUCGUAAAACUCUGUUAUGAGGGAAGAACAAAUGUGUAAGUAACUAUGCACGUCUUGACGGUACCUAAUCAGAAAGCCACGGCUAACUACGUG